CUACGGGCCGCAGCAGCUGCGAAUUUUUUGCAAUGCACGAAAGUGUGACAAAGCGAACCAAAGUGCUUUCCGCACAGGAAAGCUUUUAUUCACUGUAAAAAUGUGGAUGAAUAAGGACUGGGUAAGACGAGUGCCAGCCGCCGCGGUAAUACUCGCGGUCCAAGUUGCAACCAUUAUUAUUGGGUCUAAAACAUCCGUAGCUUGUUUAAUAAGUUUCUUGUGAAAUUUUAUAUCUCAAGUAUGAAGCGAGCAAGAAAUACUAUUAAGCUAGAGACCGGCAGAUGUAAGGAGUACGGCCAAGGUAGCGGUUAAAUGUGUUAAUCUUGGUUGGACUAACAAUGAGCGAAGGCACCUUACAAGGACGGAUCUGACAGUGAGGGAUGAAGGCCAGGGGCGCAAAACGGAUUAGAUACCCCAGUAGUC
rnacentral:rRNA from 1 species